UACGAAGGGGGCUGGCGUUGUUCGGAAUUACUGGGCGUAAAGCGCACGUAGGCGGACAUUUAAGUCAGGGGUGAAAUCCCAGAGCUCAACUCUGGAACUGCCUUUGAUACUGGGUGUCUUGAGUAUGGAAGAGGUGAGUGGAAUUCCGAGUGUAGAGGUGAAAUUCGUAGAUAUUCGGAGGAACACCAGUGGCGAAGGCGGCUCACUGGUCCAUUACUGACGCUGAGGUGCGAAAGCGUGGGGAGCAAACAGG
rnacentral:rRNA from 1 species